AGUGAACGCUGGCGGUAGGCCUAACACAUGCAAGUCGAACGGCAGCACAGUAAGAGCUUGCUCUUACGGGUGGCGAGUGGCGGACGGGUGAGGAAUACAUCGGAAUCUACUUUUUCGUGGGGGAUAACGUAGGGAAACUUACGCUAAUACCGCAUACGACCUACGGGUGAAAGCAGUGGAUCUUCGGACCUUGCGCGAUUGAAUGAGCCGAUGUCGGAUUAGCUAGUUGGCGGGGUAAAGGCCCACCAAGGCGACGAUCCGUAGCUGGUCUGAGAGGAUGAUCGGCCACACUGGAACUGAGACACGGUCCAGACUCCUACGGGAGGCAGCAGUGGGGAAUAUUGGACAAUGGGCGCAAGCCUGAUCCAGCCAUACCGCGUGGGUGAAGAAGGCCUUCGGGUUGUAAAGACCUUUUGUUGGGAAAGAAAAGCAGCAGGUUAAUACCCCGCUGUUCUGACGGUACCCAAAGAAUAAGCACCGGCUAACUUCGUG
rnacentral:rRNA from 1 species